GAUGAACGCUGGCGGCGUGCCUAAUACAUGCAAGUCGAGCGAACAGAUGAGGAGCUUGCUCCUCUGACGUUAGCGGCGGACGGGUGAGUAACACGUGGAUAACCUACCUAUAAGACUGGGAUAACUUCGGGAAACCGGAGCUAAUACCGGAUAAUAUAUUGAACCGCAUGGUUCAAUAGUGAAAGACGGUUUUGCUGUCACUUAUAGAUGGAUCCGCGCCGCAUUAGCUAGUUUGUAAGGUAACGGCUUACCAAGGCAACGAUGCGUAGCCGACCUGAGAGGGUGAUCGGCCACACUGGAACUGAGACACGGUCCAGAGUCCUACGGGAGGCAGCAGUAGGGAAUCUUCCGCAAUGGGCGAAAGCCUGACGGAGCAACGCCGCGUGAGUGAUGAAGGUCUUCGGAUCGUAAAACUCUGUUAUUAGGGAAGAACAAAUGUGUAAGUAACUAUGCACGUCUUGACGGUACCUAAUCAGAAAGCCACGGCUAACUACGUG
rnacentral:rRNA from 1 species